GAGAAUAGAUGUAUAUAAUAUUUCACCAGUCUAAUGUUUCCCUAUUGUUCGAGGUACACAAAAGAUGUCCUCAAUCCUGAGGAGAAGCACUGAUACCCGCUCUUUAAUGACGUUGCUACCUUGUUUAUUUUAAGCUCUUAUCUUUUAAUGAUAUUCAUCCAGCUUCAACAGGUCUGUGAUGAAUUCGUGAAUCAACCCACAAUCUGCAGCUGGUGGAUCUCUGUUAAUCAUAUACUGUAUGCAUAUAUAUGGAUUAUAUAGAAAUUAACACAUUCACUAACAACCUUUAUGAUAAAAUGAAGAUACUCAUAAGUUAGCUACAUAAAUAAAAAAUAAAUUGAGAUGUUCUUAAAUAGAGCUUUCUUAAAAUAUGUUUUGCAACUUUAAAUCAUACAUGCAACGUGAAAGUGAGGAAGCUCAUCGGGGAUAUUUGAUACUCGUGAGUAGACCGUAACUACUGGGAAUCUUCACACAUCCCCACUUAUCAGGUAUCAUAUAAAUACCCAUGUGGUAGAGAUAGCUCUCAAACACUUCCUAGCAAAGCUGUCUGGAUUGAGGAGCUGUUUAGCCAGAAUUCAAUUCUCCUCCACUCCUUUUUACUGCAAAAUGGGGCGCUAUAUGCUGAUCCUGGCUGUGACUGUAACUCUCGUCUUAGAUGGUCAAGUGCGCAGAUGUGCCACUCACAGAGAAUGUGAAGAUAAAGUGCCUAGCCAGGUGCAGAUACACUGCUGUGACGAAGACCUCUGCAACUGACCUUCCUAUACUUAUAGAGAGAAGAGGGGAGCAAGUCCACUUUAAAUAAAGCCAAACUAUCUCUAGCA
rnacentral:lncRNA from 1 species